CCCCGGGUGGCUCAAUGGGUUAAGCGUCUGACUUCAGCUCAGGUCAUGAUCUCACAGUUUGUGGGUUCGAGCCCCACAUUGGGCU
rnacentral:tRNA from 1 species